ensembl:lncRNA
AGGUUGAACAUCUGAUAUGUUUUCUGUGUUCUAUUGUGAAUAAAGUUUAGUUUACAAGAUUUGCACAUCUAUUACGCAGCACCCCAGCUAUGUGGAACUGGGGUUCUACACUUAUUAGAAAACAGAAUCAGUGAUAUGAAAGACAGGAAGUGAUUUUAGUUUUAAGUAAAUCUACAGUUUAAGAGAAGCGACUUAAGGAAUUGAAAAAGGUUUCUGGCAUAAACGUAUCCCUUUUCUUUAGUCAUUUGAUAAAACAUGAAAAAGCCAGUUAAUGACUGUUAAAUGAAGCAGUAAGUUAAUAUCUACAUAAGAGUUCAGGUGUCACUAUGAUACAGGGAAGGUAAUAUUUAUGAAAUAUUGCUCUGAUAACGGGGAUCAAAAAAGAGGAACAUUAUUCAUCCCACCAUUGUGAACAAUUAGACCCGACACCACCUGGAAGUCCAGAAAUAAAGUUUAUUUCAGUUCGUCUUCAGCCUUCACAACAAUUUAAAUAGCAGGACAGAAGACGUCCGUCUCUGUACACAUUGGUUAGUAAAAAAAAAAAAAUCUAAACUCAGGUCAGACACUUCCACUUCCACAUUCACUGAUACUGCGUCUCUUUUUAUUGUUUUUCUUUCUUUGCAUUGAGAGGAAACAUCCAAGUCGAUGCAGCAACAGUAACCGUGCUUCUAAAGAGUUCAUUAGAAGCACAAAAGUUCAGUUUGUCUCCCGUUUCUUGUCCUGAGGGAGUGCCUACAAAGAAAAUGCUCCAGAUAAAAACAACUUCAUUUCAAAGACAAUCUUUAACACAGCCGGCCCCGCCAAGAGAACACUGAUUGUUUGGCAACGAGCAAUAUUUUGAGGCAAUGGAAGCUGAAACAUUUCCCUGCAACCUGCUCCAGGUAUAACGGUCCUAAAGGCCUGCAGCCUGUUCAUAUUUUCCCAGGAAAUUUUUGUUAAAGGAAAUUGAUUUUUGUUUGUACUUUUAAAAGUCUGAAAUUCAAAAUGACCUAAAAAAAUUAAAUAAAAUUUGAGUAUUUAAUCUGGUAAUUCCACAUUAAAAAUGCCAGAAUCAGCUUAGUUUAUAUACAAUAACUUUGGCAUUUCACAAUGAAGACAUGAUUCAUUCACUGCGCCUUCAUACUAUGAUUUUUUUUCUCACAGACCUUCUAAGCAGACUUUACAGGUGACUCUCAGGUUCAGCAGCUGGCUGCACGAAAUUUCAGAUGAAAAAUUAAUUAAAAUUAAAACAAUUCCUCAUCCUCAGAAAAAAACUGUGACACUUCGAGUUGGUUUAAAACCGAUUUAAAAUUUGGUUGCAGUUUUUAACAAAGUUCAAGAUUGUGUUUCAGUCCUGAAAAUUUCAUGUGUCCAUCUGCUGUACUCCUGAAGUGAUGAAGGACAAAUAAGGCAAUUUAAAAAGCACCAACCCUGUAUGCUUUAGAGGCCUGUAAUUCAGAGUUUUCACAGUAUUAUGGUAAAAUUUUGCACGACUUCAGUUAUGCUAAAGUUACUGUAUAAAAACAAAACAAAUUAUUUUCUUAUAAUUAGUAUCAAAUUACUAAUUAUAAUUUGGCAGGAAAGCAUGAACGUUAUGUUGAAUCUUUGGGAAUGAUUACAGACCUUUAAAUAUAAAAGGCCAUAUUUUCCCCAGCUGCUUUAGCUCCUUUGAGGCAACUUUCUGAAAACCUGAAGGUAUGAUCAGCAGGUUGGUGCAGCUGUCGAAAUGACUGAAUUAGGGAUCUGCUGUGUCUGACGUCCCAACAAUAGGAAAAACAACCCUGUAGGACAAUGGGGUGUUUAGGGGAGUCUAAAGCCUGGGUUUCAGGGAUUACUUGUACAUACACUGACUUAAUUACUUGAAACUCUGUUUAAUGUAAGCAUCCACCACUGUAAUAGUAUGUAUACGACAGAAAAGAAGUAAAUGCAUAACAGGUCCCAAAUCUGACUGUUUUUUUUAAAGCCGAAUGACACCUUGUCUUUUCCAGUGUGCUCACUGGAAGGGGUGUGAAGCAAGCAUGGGAACCUUUAUGUCCUGAGUAAGAGUAAAGUUUUAAUCUUGUCACACCUCCUUUACACUUAACUGUAAAUUUAGCAAUUAAACAGUGAAGAGUGAGAUAUUUGGGAAAUAUCAAUUCAGAUAAAUAUUAAAUGGGGGAAAAAAAAAAAAACAUGAAGUGAAGAGACUCUGUACGCAUAGUCCCCAGACUUAAUCAUCCAAUCAGAGGCAAAGUGCACAGAGAUGACAAACUAAAAUGUUGGACUGUUCCUUUGACAGAUCAGGACUAGAUGCGGGUAAAUCCUCCUGAGCCCCACUGCCUCAGAUACCCACCAACUACUGCAGCCCACCACACACAGCGAGUGUGCAAAGCCAGAGGAAUAGAAAACUGCAAAAAGGUGACUGUAAACCAUCUGAAACUGCAGUGCAGAAUGAUACUGACUCAAACUGCAAAAAAUAUACAGGAAUGUGAAUUAAAAACUAGAGAAUAAAGUCCAAACCACUGUGAAACAUCAGUAACAGUAAUUGAAUGAACAUAAACAUGUGUUUAAAACAUAACAGACGUGAUCCAGUUUUUCCCACAGCUUUUAAAAAACUGGGGCUGUAAUCUGUUCUGCUGUUCUGUUCAUGCAAUCGGACAGCAAGAAAAACAAAAGCCUUUAGAGGGCGCUAGUGAGGCUCUAGAGGCUGUGUCAAACAUUAAAUGUUAAGAAAAUUACAAAUCAUUUUUGGAUUACAAGAAAGCACCACAAAACGUCCCAAAGCUUAGGAAUGCCUCAUUUACUGAGUUCAUUUAGUCCUGCUUCAUAUUGUUAUCUUUGAUAUAUGCUGCGACUUAGAGCUGCAACAUUUUUAAUGCAGUAAUGUUCCUGGGAGAUAAACACCUUGUCAGUUAUUCUACAAAAUGUAGUUUCAGGGAGACUGUUUAAAACUUAAAAACAAAGCUGAGGUUUCUGCAGAACACAAAUGGACGUUUCUCAACUACAGAGCACAAACAUUAAAGGACUACGAUGACCUGGAUGACUGAGAACCUUCACAGACAUAAAGAGCACAAUCUGUAAUUGCAUAAGGGAUUAGUCAUGGUAGUACAUGGUCAGUGGUUCCAGCCAGCUACAUCGAACCACUGAGAAUCAUCUACAGUGUGUUCUGCAGGCACGUGUAUGGCGAGGUGGAAGCAGAAGUGGGCAGGGCUUAAUCUUUUAAGGUGGGGUUACAGUCCUGAGUGUUGUUGAUUGUUCGACUAUACGCUCACUUUUUAAUCUAUAUAUUGUUAUGUUUUUGAUUUUUUUUUUUUUUAAAUAUUAACCCGACAAUGUGGGUCUGCUAAUAGUAAGUCAAUGAUUUUAUAAAUGACUGGCUUGUAUUUGCCAAAUAUUUCCAGAGCGUGGUGGAAACUUGAAAAGUUUAGACAUAUAAGCAAGAGUUCUGAUAAAUUAAGGUGGAAAUGUGGCUCGUGAUAAAUAAAGUUUCCUAUUUUAAACACUGAACCAGAAAAUGUUGCAGUAUUGAAAAAAAAAUGGAUAGGAGCAUCAGAUUACAGCCUCAGUCUUCAUGUUUCAAGCUUUGAGAAAGUUUGUAAAACUUCAAUCUCACAAAAGAUGUAAAAAAAAAAAAAAAAAAAAGAAAAAAAAAAAAAAAAAAGAAGGAAAAAGGAAAAAGCUUAAACGUUUUCUUUUCCCACUUCAUCGUUCAUAUGCUCAGCCAGUUUAUCAGCUGCUGUAGAAGGUGCAUCUUUAAACCUCCCAGUCUCAAAAACACAUCAAACUACUAAUUUCUACUUCAUGCCAUAGACGAUAAAAUCAAAAUUAAAAAGUUGAAUAUAAUGUAAAACAAACAAAACCACAUAAUUAAAUACUAAUAUAUACAGUGGUUUUUAAAAAUUUGUUGUUGUGCUGCUGCACGUUAGAAAUGUGCAUGAUUAUAGCCACAUAAAAAAAAAUUUAAUCAUAUAACUGUGUGUAAACAUAAAUACUAAUAUUCCUAAGUUCGUCUUUAGUGUUGAUCAGAGCACAGUAACAGCGGCAGAGAAACAGGAACUCCAAACCUCCAUUUAGAAAAUGUUGACACUUUUUGUGCAACAAAAUAAAACAAACAAAAAAAAUAAAUGCAUGAAAAGCUGAAAUAUGGAGAAGUGAGGUUUCCGUAGGACAUCAGCUACCACAGCAUCAUCAUCAUCAUCAUCAGCCCAUCAAAUAAAACAAAUCCUUCAGAGAACUUAAGACAUGAAACAGUUUGUUUUGUCAAAUCAAAAGCUAAACAUCUGAGACAAUGAACAUGAGAAACUUCAGUUACAUUCUAGCUAGUUGUUGUUUUUAUAAGUUGUUUAUAUCUUUGUACAGUGUCUG